AUCUUCGGCAAUGGGCGAAAGCCUGACCGAGCGACGCCGCGUGAGCGAUGAAGGCCAUUAGGUUGUAAAGCUCUGUCGAGGGGGAACAAGCCGCAAGGUUGAGUGAUCCCUGGAGGAAGCACGGGCUAAGUUCGUGCCAGCAGCCGCGGUAAGACGAACCGUGCGAACGUUGUUCGGAAUCAUUGGGCUUAAAGGGCGCGUAGGCGGGUGUUCAAGUCCGGGGUGAAAGCCUCCAGCUCAACUGGAGAAGAGCCCCGGAUACUGUUCACCUGGAGAGAGAUAGGGGCACAUGGAACUUCCGGUGGAGCGGUGAAAUGCGUAGAGAUCGGAAGGAACGCCGGUGGCGAAAGCGAUGUGCUGGAUCUUUUCUGACGCUGAGGCGCGAAAGCUAGGGGAGCAAACGGGAUUAGAUACCCCGGUAGUCCUAGCCCUAAACGAUGGGUACUGGGUUGCGGGUCAGACAUAGACUCGCAGCCGAAGCAAAAGUGUUAAGUACCCCGCCUGGGGAGUAUGGUCGCAAGGCUGAAACUCAAAGGAA
rnacentral:rRNA from 1 species